GUAAAGAUGCCUGCAGUAGCUCAAUGUGUCCACCAGGUGGCUCAUUGUAUCACAGAAGGGACGCUCAUGAGGACAUACACCUUCAAGAAUGGACAUUUCCGACGAUUCAACCAUGUGGCUGGUUUGAAAGGCAACCAGUAGGAAAACAGUCCAGCUGCCCACACUGUGGCCACUGUGCUCAACCACAGACUGUAAAGAGUUCAACCACAGACUGUAAAGGGUUCAACCACAGACUGUCCAACCUGCUGUGCUCACUGACUGACUGACUGACUGACUGGUUGCUGCAUGCGCGCCUGGGUCGCGCGCUACUGGUGGGCUGUGCGCUGUCACGCGCCGAAGGUGCCGUGAAAUGAAGAAAACUCACUUGCGGAGGGGAAGAGCAGUAUUUAUAAGAGCUCGUAUGGGAACAUAGGGGAGAUUGGACCAUUAGACCACUCGACUGAAAAUGGCCAGAAACACAUCUCUCUAUUUUAGAAUUGUCGAGGGCAGGAACCUCCCGGCCAAAGACGUCUCUGGAACCAGUGAUCCAUACUGCAUUGUAAAAGUAGAUAAUGAAGUUGUGGCCAGGUGAGUUCUCUCUGAUUAUAAAUAAAGAUGUG